GAUGAACGCUGGCGGCGUGCCUAACACAUGCAAGUCGAACGGAAACACGAUGAGGCUUGCUUCUUUGCGUUCGCGGCGCGGGCGUGUGAGACAUGUGUGGGACACUGCCUUAUGGCGGGGAAUAACUCCUGGAAACGGUAGUUAUUACCGCAUAACUUCGCAAGCGCAUAGUGGGAGAGCUUCUGGCGUCUUGCCAGCGGAUGUUCCCAGGUGGGAUUAUCUGGUAGGUGGGGUAUCGGCUCACCUAGGCGACGAUCCAUAGCUGGUAUGCGAGGAUGAUCGGCCACACGGGAACGGAGACACGGUCCAGACUCCUACGGGAGGCAGCAGUAGGGAAUAUUGCACAAUGGGCGAAAGCCUGACGCAGCAAGGCCGCGUGAGUGAUGAAGGCCUUCGGGUUGUAAAGCUCUUUUAUCGGGGAAGAACGGAUGUAUAAUGAACUCUGUGCUUAUUGACGGUACCCGAAGAAGAAGCACCGGCUAACUACGUG
rnacentral:rRNA from 1 species